UAAUCGUAGUUUUAAUAAUAUAGAUAUAUUUUUUCCGUUAAAUGAAGAAAAUAUCACGCAACGUAUUUUUGUUCCUUGCUUUGAAAUAGAUAUCACAUUUGGUGAAUAUAUUAUAUUUAAAGGAAAAUAUUAUAGAUGAGUUAAUUGUAAUCUAUUCGUCCUAUUCUUAGUCUAUUGAUAAUUGUUAUGAAAAAUGUCAACUGUGCGAAUGUCUGAUAAUACAAUAGUGCGUACUAGUGUUUUGUCCAUAACUUCAAAAUUAAAAUGUAUCAAAUAGUCUUCUAUGGAAAAUGAUGGCUUAAAGGAAGAGUAACGGCUUAAAACUUGUUUUCAAUUUCUACAAACGAAAUCGGGUGCAAACAUAUUUAAGCGAUGAGCAAAUAAUAUAAGGUAAACCCGUAAAAUGGCGUAGUUUCAAAAUGUCACGCUUAAAACAUGGUUUAUAUUUACAGAAGUAAUUUUCUGACAACAAUAUUUAUAGUAUUUAUAGAAUAUCUACGUAUGAUAAACAAAAAACCUUUUUUUUUUUUUAAUUUUUUGUAUAGUCUUAAAAAGUUAUAAGCUAUUAUUAUUAUUAUAUGAAGAUUUUUUUAUAAUGCUUAUUUAUAUUUAUAAUUAAAAUUAUUUAACUUAUUAUGAAUAGCAAAUUUGCACCUAUGAAUUAAUGUAGAAUAAACAAUAAAACUACAUAAACAAAUCAACAAAAUGUGUAUUCAUUAGUCAUAGUUUCAUUUUUUUUUUCGUUCUUUAUUUAUUUAUUGUUUCGAUAAAGAUUAUAGCUAUUAACAUAAUACGUAAAUACGGUAAUGGUAUAGUGGGAUUGUGAUUAGGUAAGAAAAAAUAUAUCUAAUAAUAGUU